rnacentral:misc_RNA from 1 species
GAUGAAGAACGUAGCGAAAUGCGAUACUUGGUGUGAAUUGCAGAAUCCCGUGAACCAUCGAGUCUUUGAACGCAAGUUGCGCCCGAAGCCAUUAGGCCGAGGGCACGCCUGCCUGGGUGUCACACGUCGUUGCCCCCCCAUCUACUCCUUCGGGAUUGCGGGGGGCGGAUGAUGGCCUCCCGUGCGCCUCGUCGCGCGGUUGGCAUAAAUGCCAAGUCCUCGGCGACGCACGCCACGACAAUCGGUGGUUGCGAAACCUCGGUUGCCCGUCGUGUGCGGUCGUCGCGCAUCGAGGGCUCGAAAAAAUUGUCGGGCUCCGGCUCGGCUUUCAACGCGACCCCAGGUCAGGCGGGGUUACCCGCUGAAUUUAAGCAUAUCAAUAAGCGGAGGA